rnacentral:misc_RNA from 1 species
AGCAGCCGCGGUAAUUCCAGCUCCAAUAGCGUAUAUUAAAGUUGUUAGCAGUUAAAAGCUCAUAGUUGAAUUUCGGGAUCAGUAUGUUGGUCGUGCUUCGGUACGUACUGUCAUUACUGGUUUCUACCUUCUGAAGAACCUUGAUGUCAUUAAUUUGGUGUCUUGGGGAAUCAGGACUGUUACUUUGAAAAAUUAGAGUGUUUAAAGCAAGCAUACGCUUGAAUACAUUAGCAUGGAAUAAUGAAAUAGGACGUUUGAUUCUAUUUUGUUGGUUUCUAGGAUCGACGUAAUGAUUAAUAGGGAUAGUUGGGGGCAUUAGUAUUCAAUUGUCAGAGGUGAAAUUCUUGGAUUUAUUGAAGACUAACUACUGCGAAAGCAUUUGCCAAGGAUGUUUUCAUUAAUCAAGAACGAAAGUUAGGGAUCGAAGACGAUCAGAUACCGUCGUAGUCUUAACCAUAAACUAUGCCGACUAGGGAUCGGAUGAUGUUAUUUUUAAUGACUCAUUCGGCGUCCG